GAUGAACGCUGGCGGCGUGCCUAAUACAUGCCAGUCGAGCGAACAGACGAGGAGCUUGCUCCUCUGACGUUAGCGGCGGACGGGUGAGUAACACGUGGAUAACCUACCUAUAAGACUGGGAUAACUUCGGGAAACCGGAGCUAAUACCGGAUAAUAUAUUGAACCGCAUGGUUCAAUAGUGAAAGACGGUUUUGCUGUCACUUAUAGAUGGAUCCGCGCCGCAUUAGCUAGUUGGUAAGGUAACGGCUUACCAAGGCAACGAUGCGUAGCCGACCUGAGAGGGUGAUCGGCCACACUGGAACUGAGACACGGUCCAGACUCCUACGGGAGGCAGCAGUAGGGAAUCUUCCGCAAUGGGCGAAAGCCUGGCGGAGCAACGCCGCGUGAAUGAUGAAGGUCUUCGGAUCGUAAAACUCUGUUAUUAGGGAAGAACAAAUGUGUAAGUAACUAUGCACGUCUUGACGGUACCUAAUCAGAAAGCCACGGCUAACUACGUG
rnacentral:rRNA from 1 species